GAGACGACGCUGGCGGCGUGCUUAACACAUGCAAGUCGAACGGAAAGGCCCCUUCGGGGGUGCUCGAGUGGCGAACGGGUGAGUAACACGUGGGUGAUCUGCCCCUGACUUUGGGAUAAGCCUGAGAAAUUGGGUCUAAUACCGGAUAUGACCUGCCCUUGCAUGGGGGUGGGUGGAAAGCUUUUGCGGUCAGGGAUGGGCCCGCGGCCUAUCAGCUUGUUGGUGGGGUAAUGGCCUACCAAGGCGACGACGGGUAGCCGACCUGAGAGGGUGAUCGGCCACACUGGGACUGAGACACGGCCCAGACUCCUACGGGAGGCAGCAGUGGGGAAUAUUGCACAAUGGGCGCAAGCCUGAUGCAGCGACGCCGCGUGAGGGAUGACGGCCUUCGGGUUGUAAACCUCUUUCACCAGGGACGAAGCGCAAGUGACGGUACCUGGAGAAGAAGCACCGGCUAACUUCGUG
rnacentral:rRNA from 1 species